rnacentral:tRNA from 1 species
UGCCCGGUGGUGUAACGGUAGCACAGGAGACUUUGACUCUCCUUGUCUGGGUUCGAAUCCCGGCCGGGCAACCA